AGUAACACAACACAACCAGAAUAUAACGUAGUUAAUACACUUCGAGAUAGUGACUCUGACGAUGAUGUAGAAUUGGUGUAUUCGAUAUUACAUAAAAAAAAAAGAAAACGUGUGUGUAUAAAAAAUUAUAUACAAGAUGUUGUUUGCAAAUAUGACGACAAGGAAUUCAAAACUCAUUUCCGCAUUUCGCGGAGCCUUUUUAAUUCUUUGCCUAUAAAAUUUCAAAAUAGUACCGACUUUAUUGCACUGCGAGUAAGUGAGCUGAACAUUUCUUCAGAAGCUCACGUUGCUGUUUUUUUAUGGUUUGCUGGUCACGAAGCAUGUUGUUUUAGAGAUUUAUCAGAUCGCUUUAAUCUCUCUUUAUCGUCAGUAAACCGAGUUAUAAGAAGGAUAAUAACUUUCUUUAGCAACAUGUGUCCGGAUAUAAUUGCAUGGCCUAGCACAUCAAAAAAGGAAGAAGCAAGUACAUUUUUCCAAAGCUUAUGCAAUUUUCCAUAAGUUAUAGGUUGCCUAGAUGGCACUCGUAUAACUAUUGAUCCUCCUGGAGAUCGUAAGGACGACUACAUUGACAGAAAAGGAAAUAUUUCAUUAUGCUUGCAAGCCAUCUGUGAUGAAAACAGAAAAUUUAUUAGCAUAUUUGUCGGACAUCCAGGCUCCUGUCAUGACAGUUGGGUCUUACAAAACUCUCCUAUUUAUAUGCGACUACCAUCGAAGUGUGGAGAAUACUAUCUACUGGCUGAUUCCGCAUACCCCUGUACACAACACAUCAUUACGCCAUAUAAAGACAACGGGCGUCUUACU